UAAUGCCGGAUGUUCCAGUUGAUCGCAUGGUCUUCUGGGAAAGCUUUCGCGGUAUGGGAUGGGGUCGCGUCCUAUCAGCUUGACGGCGGGGUAACGGCCCACCGUGGCUUCGACGGGUAGCCGGCCUGAGAGGGCGACCGGCCACAUUGGGACUGAGAUACGGCCCAGACUCCUACGGGAGGCAGCAGUGGGGAAUAUUGCACAAUGGGCGCAAGCCUGAUGCAGCGACGCCGCGUGAGGGAUGGAGGCCUUCGGGUUGUAAACCUCUUUUAUCGGGGAGCAAGCGUGAGUGAGUUUACCCGUUGAAUAAGCACCGGCUAACUACGUGCCAGCAGCCGCGGUAAUACGUAGGGUGCAAGCGUUAUCCGGAAUUAUUGGGCGUAAAGGGCUCGUAGGCGGUUCGUCGCGUCCGGUGUGAAAGUCCAUCGCUUAACGGUGGAUCCGCGCCGGGUACGGGCGGGCUUGAGUGCGGUAGGGGAGACUGGAAUUCCCGGUGUAACGGUGGAAUGUGUAGAUAUCGGAAAAG
rnacentral:rRNA from 1 species